GUGGAUGAGGCAUGCAAGUCGAACGAAGUAAGUAGCAAUACUUACUUAGUGGCGGAAGGGUUAGUAAUACAUGGGUAACUCACCUUUAACUGUGGAAUAACGAUUGGAAACGAUCGCUAAUACCACAUGUGGUGGGACAGGGUAUCCUGUCUUCAUUAAAGCGGGGGAUCGUAAGACCUUGCGGUUAAAGAGAGGCCCAUGGGAUAUCAGCUAGUUGGUGCGGUAAAGGCGCACCAAGGCUAAGACGUCUAGGCGGAUUGAGAGAUUG
rnacentral:rRNA from 1 species